ensembl:lincRNA
UCAUUCCCCUCCUUAUCCCUCCUCUUCUCUCCCCUUCCCUCCCCGCCCUUCCCCUCUGCCGCAGCCCAGCUCCUAGCGCGUCAGCGUGGGCUUCCCGGAGCGAGUCGCUAGGUAACAGGGCUAGCUCCGCAGACCCGGGCCAGGGAAGCCCGCGCGCGUCGUCAGCAUCUGCGCCGAGGGGCGGGGAACGCACUGACACUCCCCUAUCGGAGCCUGCAGACCCUUCAGCUGGUUCUCAGUCCCCUCCCUGGAUGCCUUAAGGGUGGCUAUUGCCACCGCGGAGUUGCCCCUCCCCUGCGGGGACCCCGACGUCGCCGCCCCCUUCUCCUCCCACGCUGGUCCGCACCACUCUCCGCACCGCCAGCCACCCUCCGAGAUCUUCCCGCCGAGCCCAGGCGUGGGGCAUGAGGAGCCCCUGGGUGUCGCCUGCAGACAACCCAGCCUCGCGCACACCUCGCCAGUCGCUGACAGGGACAUGAACAGCAUGAUUGGGUUCCGGUGUCCGGCGGCCAGCCUCAGCCGGAGGCGGCCAGUGGGUCUGCGCUGUUUGGGAGAAUGAGGCAGGAACCCACGGCAACCUCUCUCUCCUCCUUCUCCUCGCCUUCCUCUGGCUCCCGCUCCCCGGACCCGGGCCGGGCUGUGGCUCUGCUGCGUGCCCUGCGCGCCCCCCACCUGCCUCCGGAUGCUCUUCUCGGUUAGCCUGGAGAGGAAGAUAAAGACAUUUGCAACCAAGAUGGUAAUCACGAGUGGAAACGAUGAAGACCGGGGAGGCCAAGAGAAAGAGAGCAAAGAGGAGAGCGUGUUGGCCAUGCUGGGCAUCAUCGGGACCAUCCUGAACCUGAUCGUUAUCAUCUUUGUAUACAUAUAUACCACUCUAUGAAAGGCCCCAUUCAGACCUCGGUGGCCUCAGGAUGGCCACGAGACAAGGGUCCUGUGCAUCCGUCUAUCAGCGACCACACACUGCGGGGGGACCAGCAGGUUUGAAGACCACACAAUGCUCCAUCAAUGCACCUUCGAACUUUCUGACGGGUCACCUGAUGGACCCGUCCUUCUGUGAGGAGCAGACACUCUGAAGCACAAUGAAUCCAGUGGGACUCCUUCAGGCCACAAGGAACUCCCACAGGGGACCCAGCGGGAUGCUGGAAAGGCCAGCCUUCUGCACCGGCGGUGAGCACGAGGGUGAGGAAGUGCUUCACCCUGGAGUGCUGACCACAUCUCACACUGGAAAGAGGAUGCGUGGGGUAGUCGCAGCUCCGCUGACCUCCUCCCAGGACUGGCAAGAUAAAUAAGCUCUAGGUGCGGUUCGUUGACAGGCAUUGCAUUCAUCAAAUGUUUCCAGCUGUUUGAUAUGGGAGAUAACUUAUUUUUCCUUUUUCAUUGGCUUGAUAUGUGUAUCUGUUCAUAUCGAGGUUUAUAAAUCUAUAUUUUUAAUAAAUGUGCUCUAUUUUUUAGCAUGAACCAAAUAUUUGGAGAAGCACUUCUGGACCCAUAGCUCUUCUUGGUUUUAAUCGCUUUUGCUCCAUCAGCUGCAAGACGUCUUUGUCUGUAGUCAUCCGGUUGCCUCAGCUCAUCUCAAGCCUUGUCGUACCUCAGGUUCUUCUUCCUUCCCAUCCCUGCCCCUCCCUUCUCUCCUCUCUCUUUCCCCUGUCUCUCCCUUCCAUCUCUUAAUUCCCCUAUCCUUCCCCAUCUCCCCACCCCCCAUCUCCUCUCUCCCCUCCUCCUCACCUCUUGUCUAGAGGACAUUUUCCCAUAAUACCAGCUGUGGUCUUGGCUGGUGUGUGCUUCAAGAUUGUCGAGCGGCUUUUCAUUGUUCUGUCAGAGAUAUAAACCGAUUGUGGGCAUGCAGACCUUAGAUGCACCCUGUCUUUAUUGAGAAUUAUGCAUGAACAAGGGCUGAGUGGCAGGCCAGCAUCUCCAGUUUUUAAAGGGACUACCAAGGAGGAAGAUGAGCAGCCCUGCCUGCAGGCCACCCUUGGGACAGAGCAGUCACCAGCUCAAGUGCAGUAUUGCUUAUUUGCUCCUGUAACCAUCCAAUUAUCAGAUUCUGAUUUAUUUAUUUAUUUAUUUAUUUAUUUAUUUAUUUAUUUAUUUAUUUAUUUAUUUUUGUGACCAUGAGAGAUGGAAACGGGGCGAGCUCGAUGUUCAGUGCACCAGCCGUCAUCCCUUCCUUGGUGAGCUGCCUGGGGAGGUGGAGGGUGGGAUCUCUUCAGAAGUCAGUGGGAUAUGAGGGAAGUGAGACCUCCCCGCUGUGAGAAUGCACACACAGUUCCUGCUGUAAAAACACUGCUGGGACGAGUGACCCUUCAAGGGCAUUGGGAGGGGACUUAAUGGUCUCUGUUAAGGAGCCCUGCACAUUUUAAAGCUGUUUUUCCACUCACACAAAGCUCUUUUUUUCUCUGAGGGGAUGGUUGAAUAAAUACAAAUUUGCCCUGCUCUCUGGCUCCGUAACACAGCCCCAACCUGGAUGCAGUGUACAGCUUUAAGGAGAGGGUCCGCAUUCAUUCUGCCAAGGGCAGAAGUGGCAGCAGCCCCCCCUUUGGAUUCAGAUGACACUAAGGGGGGGCAUGUCUCAGCUUGCCCCCUUCCUUAAAUGGCACCAUGAAGGAGUCAUUUCUUGGGCUUCACUAAGGGACCAGUCUCUUUUAUAAAUCAAAUACCCAUGAGCACCUGGCUCUGCCCAGAGAUGUCUCCUCUUCCCCACCAGAAGGACAGAUACCGUGUACACAAGUAACCAGGCUUUCAUAGUUGCUGGUGAGAGGGAGAGUCUUUCUCUCUCACCUGUGUGGUAGAAGGAAGAAGAAAGGACAGCUCGGACCAGGAAUCUUCCCUGAGGUUUCCUGGCACCCAGUGGAGUCAGAUUCUAGCCUCACCUGGCCAGUUCCUUAUCCCAGCGAGGACUUGGAUGCUGUUGUGGGAUGCUGAUGAGGAUAGUGACUGUGGCUGGAAAGCCUGUCGCUUUGCUGAGGAUCAACCCAGCACACACACACACACACACACACACACACACACACCACACCACACCACACCACAACAGGAAACAACCUUAGAACUCCUUGGACACUGGCAGAAUUUGACACAAAUAAAAGACAGUAGAGAGGCUGGUUAGGAAGGUGGGAGGCACCCCGGGGCGAGCACUACCUACCAGGCUGUGUGAUUCUUGACAAACUGUAAUUCUGCACAGUGGACUAAACAAACAAUAAAGGUGCAGUGGGGGAAACUAUUGGUGUCGCCAACUUCCUCGUGAGCCCGUGUGUAAUUGUUUGAUUUAAUAAAACUUGACCGUGGCUGUA